UACGAAGGGGGCUAGCGUUGCUCGGAAUCACUGGGCGUAAAGCGCACGUAGGCGGAUUGCUAAGUCAGGGGUGAAAUCCUGGAGCUCAACUCCAGAACUGCCUUUGAUACUGGAGAUCUUGAGUCCGGGAGAGGUGAGUGGAACUGCGAGUGUAGAGGUGAAAUUCGUAGAUAUUCGCAAGAACACCAGUGGCGAAGGCGGCUCACUGGCCCGGUACUGACGCUGAGGCGCGAAAGCGUGGGGAGCAAACAGG
rnacentral:rRNA from 1 species